rnacentral:rRNA from 1 species
UACGUAGGGGGCUAGCGUUGUCCGGAUUUAUUGGGCGUAAAGAGCGUGUAGGCGGCCAGGUAGGUCUGCUGUGAAAACUCGAGGCUCAACCUCGAGACGUCGGCGGAAACCAUUUGGCUAGAGUCCGGAAGAGGAGAGUGGGAUUCCUGGUGUAGCGGUGAAAUGCGCAGAUAUCAGGAAGAACACCCGUGGCGAAGGCGGCUCUCUGGGACGGUACUGACGCUGAGACGCGAAAGCGUGGGGAGCGAACAGG